rnacentral:lncRNA from 1 species
GGAAAAUGGAAUCAAGGCUCUAGACAAGCUGGGGGUACUUCUCCUUGAUCCUUUUCUAACAUUUUUUUUUCUUUUCAGACUCAAAAGACCUGACAUCCACUCAGAUUGAAGCAGGAAAGGAAUACCCAAGUCCAGGGACCUCAUCACCACAAUACUUUGGGGACCCUUUGGCAAGAAGAGCUGGGGGCCUGACCCAUGGCAUCCUUCCUGCUUGGGUGUGAAGCCACCGUGUUGGGCCAAGGGCCCGCUUGAAGGUGGAUAUGGAGAUUUGUGUUUCUAGUUGCUAACACCAAGCUUUAUCAACUGUG